GAGACAGAGUUCUUCAGUUCGGCUGGACCGGAGACAGGUGCUGCAUGGCUGUCGUCAGCUCGUGUCGUGAGAUGUUGGGUUAAGUCCCGCAACGAGCGCAACCCCCGUCCUUAGUUGCUACCAUUUAGUUGAGCACUCUAAGGAGACUGCCGGUGAUAAGCCGCGAGGAAGGUGGGGAUGACGUCAAGUCCUCAUGGCCCUUACGGGCUGGGCUACACACGUGCUACAAUGGCGGUGACAAUGGGAUGCUAAGGGGCGACCCUUCGCAAAUCUCAAAAAGCCGUCUCAGUUCGGAUUGGGCUCUGCAACUCGAGCCCAUGAAGUUGGAAUCGCUAGUAAUCGUGGAUCAGCACGCCACGGUGAAUACGUUCCCGGGCCUUGUACACACCG
rnacentral:rRNA from 1 species